rnacentral:rRNA from 1 species
AUUGAACGCUGGCGGCAGGCCUAACACAUGCAAGUCGAGCGAGCGGCGGACGGGUGAGUAAUGUCUGGGGAAAUCCCUGAUGGAGGGGGAUAACUACUGGAAAAGGUAGCUAAUACCGCAUACCAUCAGAUGUGCCCAUAUGGGAUUAGCUCGUAGGUGGGGUAACGGCUCACCUAGGCGACGAUCGCUAGCUGGUCUGAGCGGAUGACCAGCAACACUGGAACUGAGACCCGGUCCAGCCUCCUACGGGCGGCAGCAGUGGGUAAUAUUGGACAAUGGGCGAAAGCCUGCGGCAGCCAUGCCGCGUGUGUGAAGAAGGCCUUCGGGUUGUAAAGCACUUUCAGCGGGGAGGCGUUACCCGCAGAAGAAGCACCGGCUAACUCCGUGCCAGCAGCCGCGGUAAUUC